AUUUAUGUUCUUGCAUUUCCCAGGUAUGUACUUGCACUUUUCUUGAUCCUCUCUUUCUUUAAUGCAGCUGGAAUUAUAUGUAGGGGACUGUGGUUUCAACUCCGAUUGAGGAUUUGCCUAGUAAUUUGAAUUAAAUUGAAAUUUUCAUCUAGUUUUUAGUUUUGUUAUUCAAUGUUUUGAUUUAAUUUUGAGUGCUUUUCAUUUUAAUUUGAUUGGGUUUAG
rnacentral:misc_RNA from 1 species